CAAUAGCGUAUAUUAAAGUUGUUGCGGUUAAAAGCUCGUAGUUGGACUUCUGACGAGAAAGAGCGGUCUCGCCUAUGGCGUAGCAUCAGAUUCUAUCUUGUCAUCCUCGUGUUUGCAUCGGGCCCUUAACCGGAUUCGGUGUGUGCACGACUUUUACUUUGAGGAAAUUAGAGUGUUCACGGCAGGCUAUCGCCUUGAAUAUAUUAGCAUGGGAUAAUAACAUAGGACCAUCGUUCUGUUUAUUGGUUCACGGGACUUUGGUAAUGAUUAAUAGGGAUAAUUGGGGGCAUUUGUAUUAACACGUCAGAGGUGAAAUUCUUGGAUUGUGUUACGACAAACUACUGCGAAAGCAUUUGCCAAGGAUGUUUUCAUUGAUCAAGAACGAAAGUUAGGGGAUCGAAGACGAUCAGAUACCAU
rnacentral:rRNA from 1 species